rnacentral:lncRNA from 1 species
UGUCGCAUAAGUUUAAGCUAACCGAUCGCUCAUCUUGCUAUAAAACAUAACCCGGGCAUCUCCCGUGUGAUAUCCGGCCACUGGAACAUCAACGCUGCUACAGGAGCAUCUUGGCUAAUUGUACCCAUCAAUAAAAAUAGAUUACACACACACACACAAAAAAAAGGCAUCAAUUAAAAGUAAGAAGCUAUGAGAAAGCAGUCACUUUUAAUGCAUCAUUUAUCACAACAACCCGGUGCUCUGCUCCUCUACAAUUUUUAGAACUUCUAUUGCCAUGACAACAGGAUGCAGCCUUUACACAGUGUGGGCCAAACCCUGCCCUUGGUGACUCAGAUGCAAAUUCAGAGUAACUUUGCUGAAAUGCCUGGAACAGCAGCGAUGCAAGUCCACUGUAACGGAGGAAGAAUGGGUCCCGCGCUCUCCUUUAUAGCUGGCCCCACACAGUCACACCCUUUCUGCCUGCAUGGAAGAUGCUCCAACGUCACUGCCCCACAAUGUUCUCAGGCUGGCCACUCUUCCCUGUGAAGUCAGCAGGAAUUCACUGACAGGUAAAUGCCUAUACAUGGAUGGCUACAGCUGAAGAAAGCAGAGCCCCUGGAUCUAUUUCAUCUGGAUUGCUCUAUGAAAGCAUUUACCGGACUGCCAGCCAAAUAACAGUUUUCAUUAACUACAAUAGCAAGCGGAAAUCCAGUUGAACAAGUGCUGUGGAACUCAGUAAAGCUAAAUCUGCUAGAUUCAUACCCUAAUGGUAGUUUUAGACCUCCAUUCCUGUUAUAAAACCAGAUGAAGCCAACAGGCAGAUGCUGUAGGUAGGCUGGAGACAGGAAUACGCAGAAUGUAAAAAGCAAGGGAUUCUUUGCAUGCAGUUUGCACACCUAACCAGCCAACAAAAUCCUAUACAAUAGAAAUACAUUUCUCCUAUUAAAUUCCAAGAGUACACAG